UCAGACUGAACGCUGGCGGCAGGCCUAAUACAUGCAAGUCGAACGGUAACAUAGGAAAAGCUUGCUUUCCUGAUGACGAGUGGCGGACGGGUGAGUAAAGUUGGGAAGCUACCUGAUAGAGGGGGACAACAGUUGGAAACGACUGCUAACACCGCAUACAGCCUGAGGGUGAAAGCAGCGAUGCGCUAUCAGAUGCGCCCAAAUGGGAUUAGCUAGUAGGUGAGGUAAAGGCUCACCUAGGCGACGAUCUCUAGCUGGUCUGAGAGGAUGAUCAGCCACAUUGGGACUGAGACACGGCCCAGACUCCUACGGGAGGCAGCAGUAGGGAAUAUUGCACAAUGGAGGAAACUCUGAAUGCAGCCAUGCCGCGUGUGUGAAGAAGGCCUUCGGGUUGUAAAGCACUUUCGGAGGGGAGGAGAAUGACGUUACCCUCAGAAGAAGCACCGGCUAACUCCGUGCCAGCCGCCGC
rnacentral:rRNA from 1 species